rnacentral:rRNA from 1 species
AGAGUUUGAUCAUGGCUCAGAAUCAACGCUGGCGGCGUGCUUAAUACAUGCAAGUCGAGCGAGGACCACUUGGUGGCAACACCGGGUGGCUCCUAGCGGCGAACGGGUGAGUAACACGUGGGCAACCUGCCCCCGACUCUGGGAUAAGCCCGGGAAACUGGGUCUAAUACCGGAUACGAGCCUCCUCCGCAUGGGGGAGGUUGGAAAGGGUCUCCGGUCGGGGAUGGGCCCGCGGCCUAUCAGCUUGUUGGUGGGGUAACGGCCCACCAAGGCGACGACGGGUAGCCGGCCUGAGAGGGUGAACGGCCACACUGGGACUGAGACACGGCCCAGACUCCUACGGGAGGCAGCAGUGGGGAAUUGUUCGCAAUGGGCGCAAGCCUGACGACGCAACGCCGCGUGGAGGAUGAAGAUCUUCGGGUCGUAAACUCCUUUCGAUCGAGACGAAUUCCUCCGGGGUAAACAAUCCCGGAGGUUGACGGUACCGAGAGAAGAAGCCCCGGCUAACUCCGUGCCAGCAGCGGCGGUAAUAC